AAUAAAGAAAAUAUAGUGGGUGUAAGAAACUAGAAUGAGGUGUGAUAGAAAAAUUGUUGCUUAGACUCAAACACCAAAAACUCAUGGUGUCCAUUUGAUUGUGCAUGACUAUGAUAAUAUUUAUAGGGAGUAUGCAUAGAAUUAUUGUUAUAAUUACCAAUUACCAUUCACAUAAUGCCAUAUGGUUAGUUAUAUUAAAAUUAAACUAAAAUUAAGCACUAAUCAAGAUAUGACAUGUGGUAAUUUGAAUAUUAAAAAUUAAUAUUAAAUUAACUAAAAAAAGAAGGGAAAAAAACAAGAAUAAUAGAAGAGGAAAUAUAGCAAAAUUGCUCAACUUU
rnacentral:lncRNA from 1 species